CAUGUUAAUAUGUGUUGUAGUGGUUUAAUAAUAUCAGAAUAUCAGACAUGUUAAUAUGUGGAUGGGCAUUACUCUGGAUCAGAAGGUUGGGUUUUGGUUGGGGAGAUGGAUGGGCAUUACUCUGGAUCAGAAGGUUGGGUUUUGGUUGGGGAGGUUGAUGGGCAUUACUCUGGAUCAGAAGGUUGGGUUUUGGUUGGGGAGGUGGAUGGGCAUUACUCUGGAUCAGAAGGUUGGGUUUUGGUUGGGGAGGUGGAUGGGCAUUACUCUGGAUCAGAAGGUUGGGUUUUGGUUGGGGAGGUGGAUGGGCAUUACUCUGGAUCAGAAGGUUGGGUUUUGGUUGGGGAGGUUGAUGGGCAUUACUCUGGAUCAGAAGGUUGGGUUUUGGUUGGGGAGGUGGAUGGGCAUUACUCUGGAUCAGAAGGUUGGGUUUUGGUUGGGGAGGUGGGAUGGGCAUUACUCUGGAUCAGAAGGUUGGGUUUUGGUUGGGGAGGUUGAUGGGCAUUACUCUGGAUCAGAAGGUUGGGUUUUGGUUGGGGAGGUUGAUGGGCAUUACUCUGGAUCAGAAGGUUGGGUUUUGGUUGGGGAGGUGGAUGGGCAUUACUCUGGAUCAGAAGGUUGGGUUUUGGUUGGGGAGAUC